AUGGUAAAAUAUCUCGAAGUUGACCCAGAGGCUUCCAUGAAGGAUUUUGAAGUCACCCAAAGGACUCAUGCUAGGUUUCGAUUCAUGGAUAAGGUGUAUACAAAUGAGCUACUUCGAACAGAGCAUGCUACUGGUGAUGAUGAGCAGGUUGUGCGACAUAAAACAUAUAAUAUGAGAACAUACAUGUUGUAUUUGGUUGGUAUGUCAUUUUUGUGGACAAGAGUGUCACUUAUGUGGAUGUCAUCUAUUUGCAAUACUUCGAUGACUUCAGCGGAUCCAUGA